rnacentral:rRNA from 1 species
GACGAACGCUGGCGGCGUGCUUAACACAUGCAAGUCGAACGCUGAAGCACCAGCUUGCUGGUGUGGAUGAGUGGCGAACGGGUGAGUAAUACGUGAGUAACCUGCCCUUGACUCUGGGAUAAGCCCGGGAAACUGGGUCUAAUACUGGAUGCUACAUGUCGCCGCAUGGUGGUGUGUGGAAAGGGUUUACUGGUCUUGGAUGGGCUCACGGCCUAUCAGCUUGUUGGUGAGGUAAUGGCUCACCAAGGCGACGACGGGUAGCCGGCCUGAGAGGGUGACCGGCCACACUGGGACUGAGACACGGCCCAGACUCCUACGGGAGGCAGCAGUGGGGAAUAUUGCACAAUGGGCGAAAGCCUGAUGCAGCGACGCCGCGUGAGGGAUGACGGCCUUCGGGUUGUAAACCUCUUUCAGCAGGGAAGAAGCCACAAGUGACGGUACCUGCAGAAGAAGCGCCGGCUAACUACGUG